GUUGGUCCGAGAGUAGUGGUGUUUAC
rnacentral:piRNA from 2 species